rnacentral:rRNA from 1 species
UACAGGGGUCCCAAGCGUUGUUCGGAUUCACUGGGCGUAAAGGGUGCGUAGGUGGUGAGGAAAGUCGGAUGUGAAAUCUCCGGGCUUAACCCGGAAACUGCAUUGGAAACUACCUUGCUAGAGGUUUUGAGGGGGGACUGGAAUUCUCGGUGUAGCAGUGAAAUGCGUAGAUAUCGAGAGGAACACCAGUGGCGAAGGCGAGUCCCUGGAAAACACCUGACACUGAGGCACGAAAGCUAGGGGAGCAAACAGG